CGAGCCGGUCGGACAGCCGCUCGCCGCAGGGCGGGAGGAAAGUCCGGGCUCCACAGGGCAGGGUGCCAGGUAACGCCUGGGGGGCGCGAGCCCACGGAAAGUGCCACAGAGAGCAGACCGCCGAUGGCCGCAUGGCGGCACAGGCAAGGGUGAAAGGGUGCGGUAAGAGCGCACCGCGCGGGUGGCAACACACCGCGGCACGGCAAACCCCACCCGGAGCAAGACCAAAUAGGGGAACCAGGGUGUGGCCCGCACCGUUCCCGGGUAGGUCGCUAGAGGCGCAUGGCGACAUGCGUCCCAGAGGAAUGGCUGUCCUCGACAGAACCCGGCUUACAGACCGGCUCAUGCA
rnacentral:RNase_P_RNA from 1 species